CAAACAUUGAGCACGUGCUAUGUGCUGAGCACUGAGGAAACAUAAUUGCAAAGGCCUUAAGAAUGCUGUCCUAUUCAGAGAAUGUCAUCAUGUGGACAAAGUCCUGAGCAAUGGAUAAGGAUGACAACUGAUAUGACAGCAGGAAGUUUUUUUUCUCAGGUAGUAGAAGAAAAUCAAUUUUUAGAUUGAGAACAUCAUUACAUUGAGAACAUGUUGUAAGAAAAAUGGUGAAAAAGUACAAG